rnacentral:rRNA from 1 species
AUUGAACGCUGGCGGCAGGCCUAACACAUGCAAGUCGAGCGAGCGGCGGACUGGUGAGUAAUGUAUGGGGACUGCCCGAUAGAGGGGGAUAAAUACUGGAAACGGUAGCUAAUACCGCAUACUAUAGGAUAAACCAUAGGGGAUUAGCUAGUCGGUGAGGUAAUGGCUCACCUAGGCGACGAUCCCUAGCUGGUCUGAGAGGAUGAUCAGCCGCACUGGGACUGAGACACGGCCCCGCCUCCUACGGAGGCAGCAUUGGGGAAUAUUGCACAAUGGGCUCAAGCCUGAUGCAGCCCUGCCGCGUGUAUGAAGAAGGCCCUAGGGUUUUAAAGUACUUUCAGUCGGGCGGCGUUACCGACAGAAGAAGCACCGGCUAACUCCGUGCCAGCAGCCGCGGUAAUAC